rnacentral:rRNA from 1 species
CAGUAGCCGCGGGAAUACAGAGGGUGCGAGCGUUAAUCGGAAUUACUGGGCGUAAAGCGUGCGUAGGCGGUGAGUUAAGUCUGCUGUGAAAUCCCCGGGCUCAACCUGGGAACUGCAUUGGUGACUGCAACGCUGGAGUGCGGCAGAGGGGGAUGGAAUUCCGCGUGUAGCAGUGAAAUGCGUAGAUAUGCGGAGGAACACCGAUGGCGAAGGCAAUCCCCUGGGCCUGCACUGACGCUCAUGCACGAAAGCGUGGGGAGCAAACAGGAUUAGAUACCCCUGUAGUCCCUGUCUCUUAUAC